GCUAACUUGGUGGCAGCGGCUGUGGUAAAACGAAGGGUGCAAGCGGUACUCGGAAGUACUGGGCGUAAAGCGUGCGGAGGGGGUGAGUUAAGUCGGAUGUGAAAUCCCCGGGCUCAACCUGGGAAUGGCAUUGGAUACUGGCUCGCUAGAGUGCGGUAGAGGGUGGUGGAAUUCCCGGUGUAGCAGUGAAAUGCGUAGAGAUCGGGAGGAACAUCUGUGGCGAAGGCGGCCACCUGGACCAGCACUGACACUGAGGCACGAAAGCGUGGGGAGCAAACAGGAUUAGAUACCCGUGUAGUC
rnacentral:rRNA from 1 species